GUGAGUAACGCGUGGGAACGUACUUUGGUUCGGGACAACCCAGGGAAACUUGGGCUAGUACGGAUAAGCUUACGGAAAGAUUCGCCGAAAGAUCGGCCCGCGUCUGAUUAGCUAGUUGGUGAGGUAAUGGCUCACCAAGGCGACGAUCAGUAGCUGGUCUGAGAGGAUGAUCAGCCACAUUGGGACUGAGACACGGCCCAAACUCCUAUUGGAGGCAGCAGUGGGGAAUAUUGGACAAUGGGCGCAAGCCUGAUCCAGCCAUGCCGCGUGAGUGAUGAAGGCCCUAGGGUUGUAAAGCUCUUUUGUGCGGGAAGAUUGACGGUACCGCCAGAAUAAGCCCCGGCUAACUUCGUGCCAGCAGCCGCGGUAAUACCAAGGGGGCUAGCGUUGCUCGGAAUCACUGGGCG
rnacentral:rRNA from 1 species